GGGCUUGCAACCAGCUGAUAUUAUUAAUAAUGUCGAAGAACUCUUGCAGAAAUAUUUACAAGUACCGAAGAAAUCUCCAGUCAGAACUAACAACUUAAAGGAAGAUUUUGAACCUGCUGGUAGUGGUCUUCCUAUUUGCUUUUUGGGAGCACAGGCAUUUAGCAGUAACAGGUAUACUAGAGAAGUAACAGAUACCGUCGCAGAAAAUUUAAGGAGAAUAUCAGAUGAUUUAGAAAGAAAUCAUAGUUCGGAGAUCAACAAUGUUUUUCAUCAACACAAUUAUAAUUUGAAUCAAUAUGGCACCUUCCGUUUAGCAGCUGAGAAUUUGUUAUCAAACAUUCAAAGACCAAUUCUACAGCUCGGUGCUGUAUUUGAACUUUGUAGACGAUAUACAUCUUCGUACCCUGCAUUCAGUGGUGACGGUAUAAUUGAACAGCAUGCUAUUAGAUACAUUCGUGAUCAUUUCACUCCAGAUGGUACCUGGACACCAGAGAGGAAUUAAGUAAAUACGACAGACUUCAACGAUGAGACAGAUAAGCUGACUGAAAGACCGAAUGAAGAAAGUUCUAGAGAAGAAAACCGAAGAGAUGGUACCUCACCGACUAUUGUUGAGAACAGUGAUAUCUACGACCCACAAGGAUUUGCCUCCUUCAAGUGGUUGUGACAAGUUCUUUUUCUUACAAAAGAACUCAGACAAAGGACCUCCAAUAAACAUGAUCGUUCAUUGUAACAGGCAGAUUUCCCAAUGUUAUACCAGUUAUAUUGCACCUGUUCAUCGAUGUAGGUCAAAUGAGGGUUUUUUUUUUACAACAACUGAUGUUAAGACAAAUGGGUCAAAGGUCAUUCUUGAGACUGAGGGUCAGAAGACCAGUUUCCAGGUUCUGUGGCGUAAAUAUUCUCCAUCCCACCUUGUCCACUUCUUGGACGAGAAACUGGUCCAUUGCAAAUUACUCGUUUUUGCCAGCUGAGUGGACUGGAACAAUGUGAAAUGAAGUGUUUUGCUCAAGAAUACAAUGCAUCGCUUGGCCCAGGAAUCGAAACCGCAGUCAUACGAUCAUGAGUCCAACACCUUAACCACUAAGCAAUUUACCUCCACUGUGAUAAUAACAGAAGGGUAAAACAUUUCCACUUUUGUGCUGGGUGUAGAGUCGACAUUUCCUCUGGGGUCCUUCACUAUAAAAAAAACCAUUAGUGGGUCUUUAAUUCACUUAAAGUAGCGUUUAAUAUAUUUGGUGAGGUUACUUUAUACAGAGACACCAUCUCAUUGGAUUAACCAUAGUUAAGUUAGCAUUCAUAUAUUUAAUAUAAUGAGUGUUAACAUUUUAAUUAGAAAUGAUUAUGUAGAGAGGGAAAAAAACAACAUAAACUUACAAUAUUCUAUAUGUAACUAUCUAAUUAGAGAUAAUCUCAUCACUGCUACGACAUGUACAGUGAAAUCUAUACUUCACUGAGGAGGGCUAAUAACACCGAAACAUACUUGGAAUAGUCUCUCUUGUACAACAAACAAAUCCUUCGCGAUAUUGCAGUUCACCUAUCACGGUUUACCUAUCACGGGUUAUUACUUAAGCUUUCCUAGAUACUUCGUGGUGUUGUUUUAAAUAAAUAUAUACAAAUUAUAAAAAUGAUAAAAAAAUAUACAGUACUGUAGUGUUCCUACUUCGCGGAUUUUUACCUAUCGCAGUGUGUUUUAGAACGUAACUCUCGCGAUAAUCGAGCGAUCACUGUACUGUCUUUUCCCUACCUUAUAAUUAUUUUCUUAUUACAUUUCUGAUACUCACUGUAUUAACAAUUGAUUUUUCAUUCAAGCUGACGACGUCUCCGGUGAUCUUAGUCAUUCCAUUUCUUUAAAUAUUAUAAAAUUUUCACAUUUUCACAUUUUCAUAUAUCGAAUAUAAUUCGUGAUUCCUUAUUUUCUCAAAAUGAUUGCGUGUAAACUUUGUUGACGAAUUAAUUCUAGAGUUGCCUGCCUUAUCAGCGAAAAUUUUUAAUAAAUGUAUAAUAAUUUCAUUCGAAAUAUAUUUUCGAAAUAUAAAUACAGAUAAAAGUAAAAUAACAGUCA